AUGUCACAGUUUCACCACACACAGCAUGGGGGUGAUGGUGAUUUUCAGAUGUGGCAACAACAGAUGAUGUACAAGCAAUUGCAGGAGUUCCAGAGGCAGCAAAAUGCCCAGCAGAUUGAUCAUGGAGCCAGAAUGCAGCCCUCUUUUGGACAGUUUCAAGCUCCAGCAAGAGCAGCGCCUGCUGAUCAAUUACCGGUGAUAACAAAUGAAAUGCCAAGCAAUGAGGCCACGGCUUAUACGUGGCCACAAAAUUUUGCUAGUGGUGACCCAAGGUUGCCAAGCAACUCACAAAUGGUGAAUACAGGUAGUAACACAAACUGGGAGCAGUAUGGUGGUGCUCCUGCCAUGGGCAAUUUCAUGAAUGGUUCGGUAUUUCCAAAUACUCAAAGUCAACCGAUGCGACCAAUGGGGUUAGCUACACAGCAAAUGAACCAGUCCUUCUAUCAAAUACCUGCUACCAGCAGAGGCGGGUCUGUUAACCAGUACCCCCAGUUCUUAGGGAUCCCAGCUGAUCUCCAGAAUGCAAUGACAAGGGCAAGCAGUCAUCAGCCUGAAAAGGUAUCAAGGCCAUUUAGCUCGUUAAUGGAUGAGCCUAGUCCGCAGGAGAAAGGUGCCUCCAGUUCUAUGCAGAAUUUUCGAGGAAAGGGAGGCUUCUUAAGCAAUAGUCCGUUACAAAGUCAAGGUGAUAAUAACAAGGCAGGCAGCCCUGUUCCAGUGAAUCAUCUACGACAUGGUUUUCAACUCCAAGAUUUUCAUGGUAGGUCAAACCAACUACAAGCAGGCCUGCAAGAGAAAUCAACAAUGCAGGUAGCACCAGCAAGUGGUGGCGCUAGCCUUGACCCUACCGAGGAGAAGUUCUUGUUUGGGGAUGAUGAGGAUAGCAACUGGGGAGCUUUGUUGAAGGGUGACAACGAUCAUGGUAAUUCUUUGGAUAAUGAUAACUUUGGUGGUGCUUUGCCAUCUCUACAGAGUGGGAGCUGGAGUGCCCUUAUGCAGGAAACGCUACAGUCUUCAACCAGUAAAGAUAAUCCCAAGGAAGAAUGGAGUGGCCUCAGUUUGCAGAAAACACAGACAGUCGCUAAUAACUCGACUUUACCAGCUCGUGACCAGAGUAAGCUUGCUGCAUCAAGCGGUGGACUACAGAAUGCACGACCCUCGUCAGCAUCUAGCUAUGGUGAUGGAACAAUGAAUAAUCCAGAUUUUACCAGUUUUCAGCAUGCUACAAGAAGUCCGUACGAGCAAAGAGAUAAAACACCACAUGAAUCUCCUCGUGCUACUGUUACCAAUCAUCAGUCAACUGCAGAAGCCAAUAAUGGGUAUAUUCAGCAGAGCUUGAAGCAAAAGCAGUCUGAUGAAUAUGGGAGACAAGAACAGGUGCAUUUGUCAAAUGGCAAUUGGGCUCAGCACAAAUCUGAAACGCCAAGAAAUAGCUCACACUCAACUGGUGCACCAUCAAGUACACAUGGAUUUUGGAUGUCACAACAAAACACUGUCGAUCACAAUAUCAACCAAGAGUCGGGCAAUAGCCAGAAUGACUGGAAGAGCAACAGCCCCCUUGGACAAGACAUCAGCAGUACCCAAAAUGUCUUUAAUAGUGAUGGAAACUUUUGGAAGUCAAGUGGAGGUAAUGCAAAUUCAGUCCACAGGCUUCAGCAGAUGAAGCCUGAUAUAAGCACUUCGCAAAUGCAGAAGGACAGUUCUGAUGGUAAAGGUGUUAGUAUGAUGGGCUCAAGCAUGCCAACAAUAAACCCGAACCAGCAUCAGAUGGUUAUGGGUCGAACCGGUGAGCAUGGUGGGAUGAACCAUAACAUUGGACGUAGGGGUUCAGAAACCUCAGAAUCUUUAAGAAGAAGUGCUGAGCCAAGACCAAAUGACUGCAACCAGGAGUACCAAAAUGCAAUACAUAUGGAAAGGCCAGGAAACAUUUUAAAUCAUGGGCAGCAUGUGAACAGUGACCAUGCUGCCAGGAGGCAUCCUUUCUUUGCUGCAAAAGAAUCCCAAAAUUCGGGAUCAGGUCAGCAAGCAGGGGGAUCUUACAUGUUGCAGAAUCAUGCCAUGGACAACACAGGGGUAAACAUUAGGCAUUCUCCGGGUAAUCCAGUUUCGAACAAUCAGUUUCCGCCUCAGUCACUUCAGGGACAAAAUAACCUGAAGCCACGAUUUGUCACCAACUCCCAAAUUGCUGCCAAUAUGGCUUCAGUUAAUGAGAAAAUGCUGGUGGGGGAUGAACACUUUAAAUCUCGACAUGGUGUCACUAACAGUUCCAGUGCAUCACCCUUUGGAGUAUCUGAUGCCGGUCUGUCUCAGAAUAGAGCAGUUCAGAACAGUCAACACAUGCUGCAACUUCUUCAUAAGGUGGACAACUCAACAGAUAGCAAUGCACUUACUGACAUGGCCAACAGUCCUCUCGAUAAUGUUGCUAAUACUCAGCAGCAACUUAAUCAAUCUUCUUUGCAAGGAUUUGGAUUAAGACUAGCACCACCGUCCCAGCGACAUCCAACUUCAGAUCAUUUAUGGUCUAGUCACACUAAUGCUGAUGGCAAGCAACCUGAACACUCAGCAAGGGGAGAACACCAGGCCCAGCUACCUUCCACUGCCACCAAUUAUUCGUCACCUGCUCAUCGAAGCUCACAGCCAACACCAUUUAAUUCUUCGGAAAUGGGUGGUACUGGACAGCCAGCUGCACAUUUCCCCCAGUUAGGUUCCGGGCAGCAAUAUCCUGUGCCAGACACAAGAUCAGGUUCUGUACCCAUGCCUCAGCAAGACAGCACAGCUACAGUAUUCAAGAACGUAUGGACAAACAUAUCGGCGCAACGUCUAGCUGGUACCCAAUCUAACAAGAUUACACCCAAUAUUCUCCAGUCUAUGAUGUUCUCCAGCAACCCCAACUUAUGGGGUUCGCAAAAGGCAGACGACCAAGGACAGAAGGUUUCAACACCACCUGAUGUAGCCACAAGUUCUGCCAAUUCACAUAAUCAAGAGACAAAACAAGCUCUGGACAGUGAUGCAGGGUUAGCCUCUUCUGAGAUGGCAAAUUUUGAUUCGACUGGAGCUGCUGUACCCAGAGGGAAUCAAGCCCUGCAGAAGCAUUCUUCAGACGGGAACUUUGCCAUUCCUGCUUCAUCCUUGGCACAAUUGCGUCAGCAAGGUAUCAUGAACCCUAGGCAGGGAGAGAACCCUGCAGCUAACUUUCAGGUUAUGAAUACUUCUCACAACACUGGUACUAAUACGAGUGGCAUUGGGUUACAUGGAAACCCAACAGCUUCAAACCUCCAACAGACAAAUUUUGCUCUUCUGCAUCAAAUGCAAGCAAUGGGUCAUGUGGAUGUUGAUCCAGGCAAUAAAACUGGAAAGAUGCUUAAACCAAAUGAGAUUAGUUCUGACGCGUCGCAAGUUGACUGGAAGUCUGCUCAGAGGUUUGCACAUGGAGCCAAUAACUCACUCAGGUCGUCUAUAGAUAACAUUGGCAGUACUAGUGUCCAAGGGUCAUUCCCUUCAGACAUGAAAAUGCUAAGCUUUGCUCCAAGGAACAAUGAGGAGAGAAGUACAAGCAUACCUUCUCAGAUCCCUUCUAGGGAAGUUCUCUCUCAUGGUAUGGUCAUGCGUAAUGAUCAUCAAAGUCAAGUUCAGUCUCUUGGAACAAAUGUAUCAUCCAAUUUGAUUGAAAGAAGUGAGAGACCUGGGAUAAACCCUCAAAUGGCACCCUCUUGGUUUGAACAUUAUGGAAACCAAAGAAAUGGUCAGAGUCCUUCUGUGUUUAAUGCUCAGAAGACCCCAACUCCACCAUAUAAUGUUCCAAAAGCUUCUUGGUGCAUGGAAAAUAACUCUCUCGAGGAUAGAGCUGAUGCCGGCCAAGCUGCCAGGCCUUUGGUGCCUAAUAUGAAGACAGCUUUGAUGACAAGGCCAAAGAAGCGCAAAUUUACAGAACGUGCUCUUGUUUCUUGGCAUAAAAUCAGUGAAGGCACUCAAAAGUUGAGAAAGACAAGCACGAAUGAGAUGGAUUGGGCUUGGGCAGCUAAUAGAUUAAUUAAGAAGUCUGAGGAUGAUCCGGAAAGUCUGGAAGAUGCCCCGGUAAAUUAUUUACCACGGAAAAGGCUAAUUAUGACCACAAAGUUGAUUCAGGAAGUUUUCCCUGCUAUACCAGCAAGAGUUCUCAGAGCACAAGCUGUAUCAGCUUAUGAAAGUGCUACAUACAAUAUCGCAAUGUUCACUCUAGGAGAUACAUGCAUAAUCUCAUCAGAUAACUCUCGCGCUCUUGCAGAUAAUGAAAAUAACCCAUCCGAACAAAGAACAAGUGCCAAGCAAAUGGAAGACAAGUUAUCAAAGGUUGUGGAAGUCUUUGUUGGAAGAAUCAGGAAAAUGGAAAACGACUAUAUGAGCUUGAGCAAGAGGGCUUCGAUGCUAGAUGUGCAUCUGGAGUGCCAGGAUUUGGAAAGGAUUUCAAUCGUAAAUCGUCUGGGAAGAUUCCAUGGCCGAAACCAUGCAGCUGGUGUCGAGGCCUCAUCUGGCUCACAAAUGGUUUCUCGCAGAAUUUUCCCUGAUAGACAUGUAAUGUCUUUCUCUGUGCCAGGAAAUCUUCCCGAAGAGGUGCACUGUUUGGCACUCUAG
rnacentral:rRNA from 1 species